AGAAUGUCAGGAUCUAACCAGAGCUUUGUGUUCUCUAGAGCGCCCUACUGGACUUUUACAUGAAGAACAUCCUGAUGAGCAAAGUCAAGCCUCCGAAGUACCUGUUGGUGAGCGAGAGGUGGACGUUACUCACCUGGACAACUGAUCCCAUUUUCAAUUCUGGGAUGCUGGACUCUUUUUUGCUUCUUGGUCCGUUCCCAUGAGGGCUAGGUGCCUUAUUCCUUUUUCUUUGUAGGAUAGCUGUGCCCCUCUGCUCCGAUACCUGUCCCACUCAGAAUUUAAGGAUCUGAUACUGCCCACCAUACAGAAGUCCUUACUGAGGAGUCCAGAGAAUGUUAUUGAAACUAUUUCUAGUCUGCUGGCAUCAGUGACGCUUGACCUCAGCCAGUAUGCCAUGGACAUCGUGAAAGGACUGGCUGGUCACCUGAAAUCCAACAGUCCCCGCCUGAUGGAUGAAGCUGUGCUGGCACUGCGGAACCUGGCACGCCAGUGCAGUGACUCUUC
rnacentral:sRNA from 1 species